GAUACCCAAGCACUUUUGUUACCUGGGGUCUUCAAGCUUCACAUUCAGGAUCCAUCUGCAUCUGUGCAGAAAAGAAUUGAAGUGGUCCUGAGAUGCCUCAUUCAGUACAUGGGGGAGAGACAGUAAGACCUCAUCAGUGUCCCCACAGUCGUGAUGAAACAGAGGUGCACGAUGAGCUUGGCAGUUUCCCACUGAAAAUUUACAUGUGCCAUCAGCCCAACGACAUUGGAAUCAUCAUAGAAGGACAGCCUGUGGUCAGAGGUGUGCCAAACCUGUCGAAAGCAUGCUGCAUCCUGUUUGGACUUACCUAUGCCCUCGAGCUCAAAUAUUCCUCCAAAAUGGUGCAUACUUUUGAGAUAUAUCAGAGGCUCUUUGUGGGAUUGGACCCCAUGCAUCCUUUUUAUAAGUUAGAUCUAGGUAUUACUUUUUACAGUGUUGG